GACGAACGCUGGCGGCGUGCCUAAUACAUGCAAGUCGAACGCAGUGGGGACGGGUGAGUAACACGUGGGUAACCUCCCAUCAGAGGGGAUAACCCUUGGCAAAAGGUGCUAAACCGAAAUUGAUGGAUGGACCAGCGGUGCAUUAGCUAGUAGGUGAGGUAACGGCUCACCAAGGCCACGAUGCAUAGCCGGCCUGAGAGGGUGAUCAGCCACACUGGGACUGAGACACGGCCCAGACUCCUACGGGAGGCAGCAGUAGGGAAUCUUGGGCAAUGGACGAAAGUCUGACCGAGCAACGCCGCGUGAAUGAAGAAGGUUUUCGGAUCGUAAAGCUCUGUUGUUAGAGAAGCGGUAUCUAACCAGAAAGCCACGGCUAACUACGUGCCAGCAGCCGCGGUAAUUC
rnacentral:rRNA from 1 species